rnacentral:rRNA from 1 species
UACGAAGGGGGCUAGCGUUGUUCGGAAUGACUGGGCGUAAAGUGCGCGUAGGCGGGUUUAUAAGUCGAUUGUGAAAUCCCUGGGCUUAACCUAGGAACUGCAGUCGAAACUGUAAGUCUUGAAUAUCUGAGAGGUUAGUGGAAUUCCAGGUGUAGGAGUGAAAUCCGUAGAUAUCUGGAGGAACACCGGAGGCGAAGGCGGCUAACUGGCAGAAUAUUGACGCUGAGGCGCGAAAGCGUGGGUAGCAAACAGG